rnacentral:rRNA from 1 species
GAUGAACGCUGGCGGCGUGCCUAAUACAUGCAAGUCGAGCGAACGGACGAGAAGCUUGCUGCUCGGAUGUUAGCGGCGGACGGGUGAGAAACACGAGGAUCACCUCCCUAUCAUACGGGGAUAACUUCGGGAAACCGGAUCUAAUCGCGGAUAAUAUUUUGAACCGCGUGGUUCAAAGGUGAAAGACGGUCUUGCUGUCACUUAUCGAUGGAUCCGGGCUGCAUUAGCUAGUUGGUCAGGUAAUGGGUUAUCAAGGCAACGAGGCAUAGACGACCUGAGAGAGUGAUAGGCGACACGGGAAGUGAGACAGGGUCAAUACGACUACGGGAGGCAGCAGUAGGGAAUCGUCGGCAAUAGGGGAAAGCCUUACGGAGUAGCGCCGAGUGAGUGAUGAAGGUCUUCGGUUCGUAAAAACCGGUUACUAGUGAAGAACCUAUGUGUAAGUAAAUGUGCACAUAGUGACGGUACCUAGUAAAAAAGCCCCGGCUAACUACGUG